CCUUCGAUAGCUCAGUUGGUAGAGCGGUGGACUGUAGAGGUUAUAAUCACGGUAGAAAUCCAUAGGUCGCUGGUUCGAAUCCGGCUCGAAGGA
rnacentral:tRNA from 1 species